rnacentral:rRNA from 1 species
GACGAACGCUGGCGGCGCGCCUAAAACAUGCAAGUCGAACGAGAAGCCCGGGCUUGCCCGGGUGGACAGUGGCGAACGGGUGAGUAACACGUGAGGAACCUGCCCCGAAGACCGGGACAACACCGGGAAACCGGUGCUAAUACCGGAUGCCUUCACCGGAUCGCAUGGUCUGGUGAAGAAAUGGAUUCCGCUUCGGGAUGGCCUCGCGGCCUAUCAGCUUGUUGGUGAGGUAACGGCUCACCAAGGCAACGACGGGUAGCUGGUCUGAGAGGAUGUCCAGCCACACUGGGACUGAGACACGGCCCAGACUCCUACGGGAGGCAGCAGUUAGGAAUCUUGCGCAAUGGACGAAAGUCUGACGCAGCGACGCCGCGUGCGGGAUGAAGGCCCUCGGGUUGUAAACCGCUUUCAGCAGGGACGAAAUUGACGGUACCUGCAGAAGAAGCCCCGGCCAACUACGUGCCAGCCGCCGCUGUAAGAC